CAUGCCAGUGAGCAAGGAGAGAGAGAAUGAAGGGUGUGCCCUUGACGCUUUUUCUGGGAAAUAAUAAGCACAUUUCGAGAAACAGAAUGAAUCAGAUUAGUUUUAUAUUCAAAGGCUGGUGAUGUUGAAAGCCCAAGGGUACGAAGUCGAAAGUGUUUGAACAGAGAUGUCAUUCCAUUCGCGUUCACCUGCCUGGAUGGUCAGUGCUGAAGCAAACGGACUCAUGAAUGAAACCAGCGCUGCACGUUGACAAGGAGCAUAACACUGGGAUCACCGGCUGUAGGUGAAAUAAGACGAAGCACGACAAUCGGCAAGCUUUUGUUAGUAUAAUUUUUUAUAACCUUCAGCGAUGCAUUGGCCAAGCAAUAGCAACACGCCGAGAGAACGAGGCUUCCCGUUUCAAGUGAUCCUCCCUUCUCGGUUUCUAAAGGCUUUUUUGGAUUGGUAGGCUAACCUUGCCGAGCUGAGUGGGCAUCGCGCUUGUCCUUAAUUUUAAAAUAUAAAAUAAUCUCUUUUUUUAGCGAGUCAUGUCUUACCCAGAGCGAUGGGCAAGAUCGAUGACAAUGAGAGGAUAAUCCUCAACGUUGGAGGAACCAGGCACGAGACGUACCGGACCACACUGAAGACCUUGCCGGGCACACGGUUAGCUCUCCUGGCCUCCGAGGCUGACACGGAGUCCGUGCUGGAUCAACUGCAACAAGUCCCUGGCUUUCUCGAAUACAACCCUAAGAACAACGAAUACUUUUUCGACCGCCACCCCGGUGUUUUCGCUUAUGUUCUCAACUACUACCGGACCGGGAAACUUCACUGCCCGGCAGAUGUCUGUGGUCCGCUCUUCGAAGAAGAGUUGUCGUUCUGGGGCAUCGAUGAGACGGACGUGGAGCCCUGCUGCUGGAUGACCUACCGGCAGCACCGGGACGCGGAAGAAGCGCUCGAUGUGUUCGAAUUGAAUGUGGACAAUGGAGACGAAGAAGAGGAGAUAAAUAAAAGGUUGGGCAUUGAGGACGUGGUGUCAGCCAACGGCAAUGUCAGCCGCUGGAAAAAGUGGCAACCGGUGAUUUGGAAUCUGUUUGAGGAUCCCUAUUCAUCCAGAGCCGCAAGGUUUGUGGCCUUUGCCUCCCUGUUCUUCAUCCUCGUCUCCAUCACCACCUUCUGUCUGGAGACCCAUGAGGCCUUCAACACCAUCAUCAACAAGACCGACACCACCCACAACGGCAGCCUGGGCCAGCAGGUCGCAGUAGACCCCAGUCUCCAGUACGAGAUCGAGACGGACCCGGCGCUGACCUACGUGGAGGGCGUCUGCGUCUUCUGGUUCACCAUCGAGUUCCUGGUGCGGGUGACCUUCAGCCCGGACAAGCUGGAGUUCGUGAAGAGUGUGCUUAACAUCAUCGACUUUGUGGCCAUCCUGCCCUUCUACCUGGAGGUGGGGCUGAGCGGCCUCUCCUCCAAGGCCGCCAAGGACGUGCUGGGCUUCCUGCGCGUGGUCCGCUUCGUGCGGAUCCUGCGCAUCUUCAAGCUCACCCGCCAUUUUGUAGGGCUCCGCGUCCUGGGCCACACGCUCCGCGCCAGCAUCAACGAGUUCCUCCUCCUCAUCAUCUUCCUCGCCCUGGGCGUUCUCAUCUUCGCCACCAUGAUCUACUACGCCGAGCGCGUGGGCGCCAGCCCCACCGACCCCACCGCCAGCAAACACACCGACUUCAAGAACAUCCCCAUCGGUUUCUGGUGGGCGGUGGUCACCAUGACCACCCUGGGCUACGGCGACAUGUUCCCGAAGACCUGGACGGGCAUGUUGGUGGGCGCCCUGUGCGCCCUGGCCGGGGUCCUGACCAUCGCCAUGCCGGUGCCCGUCAUCGUCAACAACUUCGGGAUGUACUACUCGCUGGCCAUGGCCAAGCAGAAGCUGCCCAAGAAGAGGAAGAAGCACAUCCCUCAGGGAGCGCAGGCCGGCUCGCCCAUCUACAGCCACGCCAAGCUCAACCUCACCUGCAACAGCACCCAGGCGGACCCCUGCCAUGGCAACCGGGCCAGCAGGGUGCUGGAGCGCAAACGAUCCGUGCUCUCGGGCGACUGCAGCGGAGGAAGUGACCUCACCCUCUCCCCGGAGGAGAGCCGGCCGAUGCGGCGGUCCAGCACGCGGGAUGGGAGCCGGCAGGGGGGCGGGGGGGGCACCUGCUUCCUGCUGGCGGCCAGCGACUACACCUGCUCCACCGACGGAGGCGUCCGGAAGACAGGUGCAGAGAACUGCAAAGAGGUUGUCUUUACUGGUUGCACACAAGCAGAGAGCAGCGCUCUUUCUUAAUGGACGGCGAGACCUCACCAGCAGGCACAAGGUAAUGUCAUCUCUAUGGCUUGCACUGAGACACCACAGAGGAUUACUGAGUCAAUAUUUUGUUUGGGAGAGAUAUUGUUGCGGAUGGAACUAAUUGGGAAAACUGAUGCCACUCUGACUGGCCACAGCACAGAACAGCGUUACAAACAGACUGUGCCCUGGACAUUGGUCAACCACAGCUGUUGCCUGGACAACUGUCAGAGGAGGAUUCUGAGUUCUGGGAAUUCUGGGAUCACUGGGCCGGGGAUUCAUGGCUCAUAGCCCCCGGAAAGACUACUGUUGCUACUAACGUGAAAUCGUGGCUACGAUGGACACACCCCGAACACAAGGAUUAAAUAUAUAUUUGUAUAUAUCAGCUCAAAAUACAGGGGCAAACAAACCCUUCUCAUGCAGUCUUCUAAUGGAAAGAGUCAAGUCUUUGUGGACUCUUUGCCAUCCAUGGAAUCUCUGCAGUACGUGUAUUAAAACAUUUAAAGCCAAGAUAGAUCUGGAUCAAUGGUUUAUCUAUAAAUCUAUAGAUCCCAUAGACAGGGAAACAUAUGUGCUAAGAUUAAUAAAUGUGACAAAUAGUCAAUACUUUUAUUUUCUUUAGUAUUCUGGUGGAUUCAUUGCUGUGUCUUUUUGUUUUCAAUUAUGCAAUAGCCACGACAGUACACUAUAGACAAAGAUGAAUAUGGUGUUGAAUAUGGUGUUGGUUGACAGAUUUAAUCUUAGCCUUGGGAAGAUAAUCAUGUUCUUGGCUAACUGUUAGAACAGAAUGUCACACGCAGACACACUUUAAAAAAAGGAUUCCCAGUGUGUCAUUUGGACUGCAUUAAUAUUUUGUUUGUUCAUGUCCUAUACUUCAUUUUCACACUGUGAGAAUGUCUUCACCUUGCUACAUCAGGCAACCUGUGCCAUUAGUAUCCCUGAUCUAUCAUCCUUUCAUAGAUAAACAUAGUCUGUGUGCAAUCUGCACUCAGUGAGCACUUUAUUAAGUAUUUUUUUAGACUUAUCUUUUAGACUUAUUGGACUUCUGCUGCUGUAGCCUGUCCACUUAGAAGUGUUGUGUGUUCAGAGAUGCUCUUCCGUAUACCACCGUUGUAAUGUGUGGUUAUUUGCGUUACUGUCACCUUCCUGUCAGCUUUGACCAGUCUGGUCCUUCUCCUCUGACCUCUCUCAUUAACAAGGCGUUUUUGCCCACAGAACUGCUGCUCACUGGAUGUUUUUUGUUCGCACCAUUCUCUACAAACUCUAGAGACUGAAAUUCCAGGAGAUCAGCAGAUAAGAUGCUCAAACCACCCUGUCUGGCACCAACAAUCAAGUAACUUAGAUUCCCAUUCUGACACUUGGUCUGAUCAACAGCUGAACCUCUUGACAACGUCUACAUGCUUUUAUGUAUCUUGUUGCGCCCACAUGAUUGGCUGAUUAAAUAUUUGCAUUAACAAGUUGGUGUACAGGUCUACCUAAUAAAUGGCUCACUGAGUGUAUAUAAUGUCUUUUAUGGUUCCAUUGAUGAAAUGGAUGAAAUACGGAUGAGGCCUACGAGGUGGAAAGAAAUGUCCUUAAGCUUUUUGUUCUGUGCCAUUCACGUGUCUUUGAUGGAAUUUCAUGAACAGCAUUGAAUCUGUCUGUUGGUAAAAAAUAAUGAAGAUAUGCAAAAAGUUGGAAUAUUUUGGAACCUUUUAAACUGUCAAUAGAGUUAUAGUUUACACAAUAAAAAUAUGCAAAAAAUGUAGGGUAGAACGCACUCAUACAGGUUGGACCAAUUCUCUGUUCUACUCGUUGAGCCCUAUCUUGAUUACAGAAAAAUGCAAAUGAAGUUUGUUACUGGUGUUCUGGAGUGACCCAAACCUACACACAGGCAUAAAUGACGAGUUUGCUGAGGUUGGUAUUUUCAUUCCUGUUUUUCAACCGUUGUGUUGGGAGGUUUAAAUGAGGUCUGAGUCAGUAGUUUGGGGGUGUAAAAUCCUGCAGAGACACCCACAUACAGAUAUUACAAUAUCAAUAACAGUUUAGUCUGCAUUUGGCCAACAUCUGUUUUUCUGUUGUGUUUGCAAACAAACAGAACACCCAAACAUGGAAUGACUAAUAAUGAAACAUACAUUAUGUGAGAUAAUUCACAUCAGUAAUUCUGUUGUGUCAGUGCCCUGCAUUCAUGAUACCUUCAUAGAGAGGUUAUGUAGAGUUCAAGUUAAACUCUAAAGCUCCUUUCACACAUUGCUGUGUUCGAUUGUCCAUGUUGGGCAGUUGUUUUCCCCAGUCACACAUACAGUAGGUCUCCUACACAGAAAGUGUGUUCAUUUAAGACAUACAAGACAUGACCAUUCUGGACAGAUUAGGCUAGGCAGGAUGUCUACCUGCCCAUCCAAUGUAACUGACGUAAUGAAAGUUAGUUUGUCUUUAAAACAGCUGGGUAUUUUGCUGAGUAAUAGUUUUGCCACCGAUGUAUAUCCUACCAACACAACACAGUGUCCAAAUAGCUGACAUUAGAUUAAUAUAGGGAAGCAUGGUUUAUGAGUUACAUGCAGAGUUGUUUUUGGUAAAAUGAAAUUAAACUUCUGUUAGCCAUGCUAAUAGCUAGCCAUUGGCAUGAGGCCUACAAGCGCUAGGCAAUUUGAUACAAUGAGUAAAUAAACAACAUAAAGCUUGUGUGGAUUUAACUUAAUGUGAUUUUUAUGUCAAAGCAAGGACAGUGACCCUUCAUUCCAUUCCAUUCCCUCAAGUUCCCCCCUGCCGUAAAAUCCAGCUAUGUCAGCUUGACCAACUUGAAAAUUGAGCUGGUCCAGCUGGUGAUAAGCUGGUCAACCAGCAUGUUAGUGCUAGAACUGUAGCUUGUCUUGUUUCAAAACAUUGCUUGAUCUGGUCAAACCAUGUCAAGCUGGGAGCUGGUCUGAACUGGUCAACCAGCUACCAGCCGAUUCAAAACCUAGUUUGAGCUGUUUAUUUCAACAGGGCCCUCACAAAAUCAAACAAUCAAGCUCCAAUAUUUUACAUGUAAGUCUUAUUCAUGCAAGAAUUGUUGAGAGGGCAGAUUUUUUCAUUUUUUUUUAACUAGACCGAUAUUUCCGUAAAUCCUUUGAGAUACUGACCUAGAAAACUUGAGGAAAGCCCAACACAGAAAACCCACUCCUGCUCCUCUUCACACACAAUGCCGACCAGGAAAAUUGCUGGAAUAUUUAUGGAUUAAGAUGAGUGUGUCUAAAAGGGGUUUAAGAUGCAUUAUGUAUAUGGUCCACUCUAACAUCCUUUCACAGAUGACCAUGAGUACUACAGAUUGUCUAACCCAUUAAACAUGUGUUUCUAUUGUA